rnacentral:hammerhead_ribozyme from 1 species
GUCCAGAUGACGAGUCCCAAACAGGACGAAAUGCGCAUCCUGUAU